UGAGGAACAUGACCUUCGGCGGGGGAUAGCCGGCCCAACGGCCGGGUAAUACCGCGUACGACCACAUGGGGACAUCCCUGAGUGGUGAAAGCAGCAAUGCGCCGAUGGAGUGCCUCGCGGCCUAUCAGCUAGUUGGUGAGGUAACGGCUCACCAAGGCGACGACGGGUAGCUGGUCUGAGAGGAUGGCCAGCCACAUUGGGACUGAGACACGGCCCAGAUCCGUA
rnacentral:rRNA from 1 species